GCCAGCCUGAGUUUCAUAGCAUGAUCCUGUCAGAGAGAGAGAGAGAGAGAGAGAGAGAGAGAAGAAAAAAGAAACAGGAUGUAUGUGAUUCAUGGGUUCUGGUUGUUUUGUUGGUUUUUUUCUUCAAAAUUAAUAGUUUUCCUGAUACAGCCAUCUUGCUUUUGGAAAAGAAAAAUGUUUCUACUUUCAUUGGCUAGAGAAGAUUAAAAGAGUGUCCAUCACCCCCUCCACCCCGAGGAGGCUGUCUGUCUGGAAGAAAAGAAAAUUUUAUGCUAGAUUUAAGUUGAUGAUAAAUAAAUGUUUUAUGAGUGGGGAAAGGACGGGUUUAUAGAAGUGACUGGAUCAAUCAAAAUGGAAAUGGCUAGGCCCUGACGGCGCCUGCCUUUAAUCCCAGCACUCGGGAGGCUGAGUUUGAGGCCAACCUAUUCUACAGUUCCAAGACAGUCAGGGAUACACAGAAAAACCCUGUCUCAAAAAAAGAAAAGAAAAGAAAAAGAAAAAGAAAAAGAAAAAGAAAAAGCAUUAAAGAGCACCAUCACCCCUGGGGCGGACUACAGAGGCCUGGUGGCUGUCACUACUAAGUCACUCAUUACGAGUUAAACCCAUGUGUCUACCACUGGCCCCUCUCCAUUGUACCAUAGGAAGCAGGCAGGACCUUUGGACUUCCCUGGUUGCUUAGAAAACCAAGUCACAGAGCCACAGAAAAGUAGCAACUUUGCCAAGGCCUUAGGCUAAAUUAGGCUGAAUUGAAAAUGGAACCCUAAAGCCUGGCAUGGUGGCACACGCCUGUAAUCUCAGCACUCUGAGAGGAAGAGUCAGGAGGACCUCUGAGCUCCAGGCCAGCCUGUAUUCUCCCCUUUAUCCCAGCACUUGGGGAGUGGAGACCGGAGCAGCAAGAGUUCAAGGCCAGCCUGAGCUACAUGAGACCCUGUCACUUAUAAAAAUACAUUUUAUCCUAUUUGCUAUAUGUGUGUGGAUGCUGAUUGUAUGUGUGUGUGGGGGGCAUGACAGACUCGUGGAGGUCAAAGAACAGCUUGCUUGAGUCUGUUCUCCUCCCACCGUGUGGGUCCUGCGACUCGAACUCAGGUCAUCAGACUCAGAGGCAGCAUCCUUUACCCCACAGAACCAUCCCAUUGGCUUCUUCAACACGUGUUUUUAUGCUCUGAGUGAACUCUGAGGGAAAAAAAAGCCUGUUUACCAUCUUAUGCCUAUGCGUAAUUGGGCAUUACAGGUAGGGACCUGCUCAGUAAGGAAAAGCUUAUAUAAUCCAUGCUUGUCAUUCUAAACAGAACUGCCCUUCAACACCCACUUGUAAGUGACUCCUCCUGAAACUCAUAAAAGGAAGCCACCACUGAGGAACCAAGGGCCCCCACCCCGGUAACAGAUUCAGGAAGCUGCAACCAACGAAAUUGAGGCAGUUGAGUUUACCAUCCUGCGAUGCUGGGUGGCAAAUAAAAGGCAAGUACAUUGACCGAGUGCAGAGAACAGCUUCUGUUGUUUGUUUUUAUUUUUUUAGAUGUACUUGAUAUGUUUGAGCCUCUUGCCUGUCUGUAUGCCAGUGCACCCCGUACAUGCAGUGCCUACAGAGGCCAGAAGAGGGCAUCAGAUACCCUGGAAUUGGAGUUACAGACGGUUGGGAGCCGCCAUCUGGGUGUGGCAAACCAGACCUGAAUCCUGUUGUGGGUAGAAACAUGUUUUUGUUCUGGUCCCAGGUGUGGGUUGUGGGACUGAUUUGCAUGGUCCACAGCAGCAAACUAUUUACCUCAUGUGGGCUCUGAGGGAAGCUCUUUGCCAGUUGCAGGUAGUUUAAUUCUGAGGACUCUGCAAAGAGAAUAAAUGCCGGAAGCCAGAGAGUGAGGAGCUGGGAGAAAGAACAAGGCUACUGUUGCUUCCCCCUCUUCAGCUCCUGAUGCUGUUGUUGCAGUGAUACAAGAAGGUGGAGAUCUCCUGAAACAAGGAUUGGACUGGCUCCAAGGAACCCGACGACCCUAACCAGCAGGAAGCUAAGAGAACUGCACCCUCUUUCCCACUAACCCUUUCUCUUUCUUACCUGGUAUUGGGGUGUUGGCAGGGGUUGGGGUGGAGGAGGGGGAAAAAGAUAAAAGAAAUGUAAAUAAGAGUUUUUAAAACUAACAUCUACAGAAUUCUCUACAAGAGCAGCUCUUAACCAUUGAACCAUCUCUCCACCCUCCUCAGAAAAUAGUUUUUAAUGGCUCUGAGUGCAGGUCCCCUGCUUUUAUUCUUCGCUGGCUGAGUGAUCAGGGAUGCAGCCUUACAUGUCAUCACCACUCAAGUUUGCCUGUUUCUCAACCAAGCCCCUGUGUGGGCUCCUCUCUGCCUUUCACACCCUGUGUAUUUUGAACCUUCCCAGGCCUUUUCAUGUGGGCAUUAGGCAAGACUGACUGUUAAUAAUUUUCUACUGUAAACUUCUAGUCUGGGUGGGGGUAGACUGGCAUGCACCAGCAGGGCCUACUGCUUCCUGUCCUCCUGUGGCUGGGCCUCAGCUGACUUCAGCCGCUUCUGUGGUGGACAUGGACCCUUAUAUGCUUCCUCCAAGGGGCUGGAGAGGUGUCCCAGUGGUUAAGAGCGCUGCCUGCUCUUGCAGAGGACCUGGAUUCAGUUUCCAGCACCCACAUGGUAGCUCACAGCCAUCUGUAACUCCAGGUCCAGGGAUCUGAUCUCUCUUCUGACCCACGUGGGCACCAGUACAUACAUGGCACAUAGACAUAGAUGCAGGCAAAAUAUCCUUAUACCUAAAAUAAAGAAAUAAAAUUUAAAACAAUUUUUUUUUUCUUUACACAUUCCCCAAGCCUCCCAAAGAGAAAGCCUCGAGAGUUGACCGGAAGGCUUAGAAAAUAAAGGUGCUUGGUGCCAAGCCUAAUGUCCUGGGUUCAAUCCCCCAAGAGCACACGGUGAACAUAGGAAACCUACUCCUAUGAACUGUCCUCUGAGUUUCAUGUGUGCUCACACACACACCUGGAUUAUUUUAUGUGUAAAGUGUUUUGCUUGCAUGUAUGUAUGGUGAUUAAGGAGGGCAUCAGAGCCCCUGGAACUGGAGUUAUGGACAGGUCAUGAGCCACAUGUGGGUGCUGGGAUUCCAUUCCUCUUCAAUAACAAGACAUGCUCUUAGCCAAUGAGCCACUCCCUACUCCCUGUUUUAAUUUUUUUUAGAAGUGGCACAGACUCAGAGACAAACAGGAAAAAGUCAUGGGGCAAAGGUUGGCCUGACAAUGUGACAGGAUGAGGAACACCAAAGCCAGUCUGCAACCUGGGAAGGAUUGCCGGUGACCCUGGAAACUGGAGGAAAAGCCAGUGAUGGGACUUCCCGUUGCUGCGAUCUGAACAAGACUCCUUUUUGUGGGAUGGAAAGUCAGCCCCCAACGCCUCUGCUGAGGGUAUCUGGAGGCUCAGGCUGACUCUUCAGACAAGGGCAAAAGGCGGCCACAUUCUUCAACCAAAAUAUCACAAGAAUGACCUCUAGGCAACGUAUUAAAAUUCUUCUCCUCUGAAACCUCUUGAGCCAGCGCCCACAGUUAAAUCACCCUCAGCAACCACGGUCUUCCAUGCUCCUACAAGGAUGGCCCAACAAGUAGCACUUAAAGCAUUUCAUUGCUUUCCUAACCCAAAGUCCCCAAAUUCAUAUUCCUCCAAACAAAAGCAUGGUCAGGCUUAUCACAGCAACACCCCAGUCCCUGGUGCCAAUUUGUGGCUUAAAUAAAAUUUACAUUGUUUUGAAGAGACA